ensembl:snRNA U6 U6 spliceosomal RNA
GUGCUCCCUUCAGCAGCACAUAUACUAAAAAUGGAACAAUACAGAGAAGAUUCACAUGGCCCUUGAGCAAAAACGACACGCAAAUUCGUGAAGCAUUCCAUAUCAAA